GCGAACGCUGGCGGCAGGCUUAACACAUGCAAGUCGAACGGGCACUUCGGUGCUAGUGGCAGACGGGUGAGUAACGCGUGGGAACGUACCUUUCGGUUCGGAAUAAUUCAGGGAAACUUGGACUAAUACCGGAUACGCCCUUCGGGGGAAAGAUUUAUCGCCGAUAGAUCGGCCCGCGUCUGAUUAGCUAGUUGGUGAGGUAAUGGCUCACCAAGGCGACGAUCAGUAGCUGGUCUGAGAGGAUGAUCAGCCACAUUGGGACUGAGACACGGCCCAAACUCCUACGGGAGGCAGCAGUGGGGAAUAUUGGACAAUGGGCGCAAGCCUGAUCCAGCCAUGCCGCGUGAGUGAUGAAGGCCUUAGGGUUGUAAAGCUCUUUUGUCCGGGAAGAUAAUGACUGUACCGGAAGAAUAAGCCCCGGCUAACUUCGU
rnacentral:rRNA from 1 species